rnacentral:rRNA from 1 species
AGAUCAUCACUGGGUAUAAAGCGUGCGCAGGCGGUUUUGUAAGACAGAGGUGAAAUCCCCGGGCUCAACCUGGGAACUGCCUUUGUGACUGCAAGGCUGGAGUGCGGCAGAGGGGGAUGGAAUUCCGCGUGUAGCAGUGAAAUGCGUAGAUAUGCGGAGGAACACCGAUGGCGAAGGCAAUCCCCUGGGCCUGCACUGACGCUCAUGCACGAAAGCGUGGGGAGCAAACA